UACGUAGGGCGCAAGCGUUAUCCGGAAUUAUUGGGCGUAAAAGAGCUCGUAGGCGGUUUGUCGCGUCUGCCGUGAAAGUCCGGGGCUCAACUCCGGAUCUGCGGUGGGUACGGGCAGACUAGAGUGAUGUAGGGGAGACUGGAAUUCCUGGUGUAGCGGUGAAAUGCGCAGAUAUCAAGGAGGAACACCGAUGGCGAAGGCAGGUCUCUGGGGCAUUAACUGACGCU
rnacentral:rRNA from 1 species